CUGAAAUGAAAAGCAGAUGGAAGAAGUUGGCAAUUAGGAAUCAUUUUGCAUCAGUAGCAAACCUUUCCUUGAGUCUUCACAUUCAUGUGAGCUUUUCUUGUGGAAAUCCUGAUGCGGCCCAGCCUCAGCCAGACUCUGCCUCCAGUGGCCCCCAGAAGAUCUGCAUUUGGCCCUACAACAUCAAAAACAAUCUGCAACUUGAAAGGCGGGGAGGAACGUGGUCAGGCAUGAUGUCUGCAAGCAUCUUCCAAGUGUGUCAAGUACCAACUGGGUGAGAAGUUACGGUACAGAGUACCAUGUUGGUUUGUUCACAUGUACUGGAUGUAGCUUUGAUCUACCUGUGUUCAAGAAGAUCUGUGAUAUAACAAUACACAAAGAAUGUGCUUACAUAAUAGCCUGUAAUGUAGAAACGAUGUACGAUGAUGACCUGUUUA